rnacentral:lncRNA from 1 species
CCGCCGCCGCCGCCGCCGCCGCAGGAUGAGCAGCCUGGGGAAAGUGCGGCCGCCGGGGACAGCCACCCAGAGAAGAGACCAAACAGUGAGAAAGAAGACAAAAAGGCCAUUGAGCUUACUUUGGAGUAUAUGACACAAAGUUUCCAUCAGCUGUAUACCCCCAAGAUGGUGAAUUGCUUUUUCAAAAAAUCCAGACUGAAGAGUCAACACAGUAUGGUGCAUUCAGGGAGACCUGGGUAGGAGACUGGCCUCUUCCACCUACUGACUGUGUUCUCAGGGCCUGGAGAACUAUUUAAAACCAUGAGCUGCAGAGCAGGUGGAGAGCUGCAUUAGGAGAAGGAGGUUUCACACUGGGAAUUCCUUAUGCCAAUGACAUCAGAGAUG